rnacentral:tRNA from 1 species
GCGCCUGUAGCUCAGCGGAUAGAGCGCAGCCCUGCGGAGGCUGAGGCCGUGGGUUCAAAUCCCACCAGGCGUGCCA